UACGUAGGGUCCGAGCGUUUGUCCGGAAUUACUGGGCGUAAAGGGCGCGUAGGCGGCCAACUAAGUCAGACGUGAAAUCCCUCGGCUCAACCGGGGGAACUGCGUCUGAUACUGGGAUGGCUUGAAUUCGGGAGAGGGGAUGCGGAAUUCCAGGUGUAGCGGUGAAAUGCGUAGAUAUCUGGAGGAACACCGGUGGCGAAGGGCGGCAUCCCUGGACCGAGAUUGACGCUGAUGCGCGAAAAGCCCAGGGGGGAGCAAAACGGGGG
rnacentral:rRNA from 1 species